UGAAGAACCCGGAGUGUGGGACUUUUAUCUGCAGAGUGCGGGAGUUGUAGCCAACGUUACGCGGUUCCCGCUCCAAGCCGAAGAUGCCGCGCCUACUGAGAGGAACGUACUAUAGUCAGAAGUGUGGGACAGGAAGAACGUUAAGGACCUUUGCACUGUGCUAGGGGCCUCCAAGGUUAAAUGUGAUGUGAUUUGUGUGCUUGGGGCCAGGGGACAGUGUAAAGGUAUACGGAGGUACAACUUUUAAGUCCAUGAGCAGUGCCUUGCUUUACGAAAUGGAUGGAUUAUAACGAAGGUCGUAUAAAGCUGGCGGCGAACGCAUUAUAUUCCCCAACUCCCACCCCACCCAUUCCUUCAGUAAAUGCACCAGCAAGAUAACAGUAUAAUUAAGAGUCCUGAAAAAAAAAAGUCCUGAGCCAAAUCUGGGGAUAAAAUAGGAGGCCCCCAGCCUUACGACCUGGAAGGGUACCCUGUGCAUGUAAAUCAACUUAAAAGAUUUUUUGCAUAUUAUAUAUGUAAAUUUGGGUUACAAGUUCCCAAGUUACCCAAAGGUUUCGAUUCAUAAACAUAACUUUUAAAACAGUACUGUAAUAUGCCAUCUCAGUUUGUAAAAACACUAAUUGACAGUCAAAUUAUGUAUGUAUUUUCAAACACAAUUCAGAGCAGCUUUCUCAGCAAAGUUUUGCCGGUUCAGUAUCUGUUGGGGCAAUCGCAGUUAUGUGGGAAGCCGAGAACAGGCUUCAAAAGUACAGACAACUCUCCAGCGCCCUCUUCACCUAGCUGUAUUCUAAGCAUUACCAGGUGAAAGCUCAGAAGUUUUUUCCGGAAGCCCGACAAGGAGCUCCUUGAAAGCAGGAACCGUGCGACCUUUUCCUGUAGCGGAAACACCUACCCAGUGCCAAGCACACGAAAGUGUUUCUGGACACAGAAUUUUGCCCAGAGCCUAUGGAGUAAAGGAGAGGAUCUCUAAACCAGUGGUGUUCACGCUUCCGUGGCUAUGACCAAUGGCCUGACUGGGAGGAAUGCAAAUCACCUGCAAAUGUGGCACAGCAAGCAGGAUGUAGAAC